UUGUAAACUUUAAAUAGGGAGUCGGACCUGCCCGGUGAAAAUUUUUAACGGCCGCGGUACUCUGACCGUGCAAAGGUAGCAUAAUCAUUUGCCUUAUAAUUGAAGGCUAGUAUGAAGGGUUUGACAAGGAUAUAACUGUCUCUUUAUAAUUUGAUAGAAUUUUAUUUUUAGGUGAAGAAGCCUAAAUAACAUUGAAAGACAAGAAGACCCUAUCGAGCUUGAAAAAAAUUAAUAGAUAAACUGAGUUAAUAAAUUUAAAAAACUAACUGUUAUAUAUUUUAGUUGGGGCGACUGAGGAACAAUAAAAGCUUCCUUCAUUUAAUUAAACACUAUUCAAGUAUUGAUCCAGAAUUAUUCUGAUUAAGGAAAUUAGUUACCGUAGGGAUAACAGCAUAAUCUUUUUUAAGAGUUCUUAUCGAAAAAAAGGUUUGUGACCUCGAUGUUGGACCAGAGUAUCCCAAAGAUGCAGCAGUCUUUAAAGGUUGGUCUGUUCGACCAUUAAAACUCUA
rnacentral:rRNA from 1 species